GAAAUGCGAUAAGUAAUGUGAAUUGCAGAAUUCAGUGAAUCAUCGAAUCUUUGAACGCAACUUGCGCUCCUUGGUAUUCCGAGGAGCAUGCCUGUUUGAGUGUCAUUUAAUUCUCAACCCCUCCAGUUGUCUUGACUGGUUAGGUGGCUUGGAUGUGGGGGGAUUAACUGCGGGCCUCCUCAGAGGUCGGCUCCCCUGAAAUGCAUUAGCGGAACCGUUUGCGGAGCCCGUCACUGGUGUGAUAACUAUCUACGCCAAAGGACAUCUGCUCUCCGGUAGUUCUGCUUCUAAUUGUCCUUCAUUAUGGACAAUGUAUAUUUAUUACUUGACCUCAAAUCAGGUAGGACUACCCGCUGAACUUAA
rnacentral:misc_RNA from 1 species